GGAGCUGCGCUGCGAGGAGCCCCCGCGUGUCCGCCAUAUUGGUGCCCGCGCCGCAGCCGCUGCGCCUUGUUCCUCCAUCUCCUCCCGGCGCGGCCUAGCGGAGCCCGACGGGGGAGGGAACGUCGGCGCCGCCGGGCGGGAAGUGGGGGCGAGGAGACCGCGCGCCGCGGGGAGGAGACGGAAACGAGCGGGGCCCGCGUCCCUCCGCGCCCGCCCCCUGCGCCACCCGCCAUGGCGAGGAGGCCCGGCGGCUCCUGAGCGCGGCGCGCACGCACAGAGCGAGCCGAGCCCCGGCCCGGCCGCCAUCAGCGGAGAGAAGCCUCCCGGCUCCCACCUCGGCCGCGACAUGGAGGCCGUGAAGGCCUUUAACAGCGAGUGUGGUGAUGUAGAUAUUUUGUUGUACUCGCUGAAUGAUUAUAAGCCACCCAUUUCUAAAGCUAAAAUGACACAGAUCACCAAGGCAGCAAUCAAGGCUAUAAAGUUCUACAAGCAUGUUGUGCAGAGUGUUGAGAAAUUCAUUCAAAAGUGCAAACCAGAAUACAAGGUGCCUGGUCUGUAUGUCAUUGACUCGAUUGUGAGACAGUCCCGGCAUCAGUUUGGACAAGAGAAGGAUGUAUUUGCUCCAAGAUUCAGCAAUAACAUCAUCAGCACUUUUCAGAACUUGUAUCGUUGUCCUGGGGAUGACAAGAGUAAAAUUGUUAGAGUGCUAAACUUAUGGCAGAAGAAUAACGUGUUCAAGAGUGAAAUUAUUCAGCCUCUCUUGGAUAUGGCAGCAGGAAUUCCUCCACCAGUUGUGACCCCCGUCUUGCCCAGCACUGCUGCUGCUAUGAGCAACAAUACACCAGGAACACCUGUGACUCCAGUUACUCCUGCCAAUGUGGUGCAAAGUUUACCUGAUCCUUGGGUGUCUCAGAUUGCUAAUACAGAUACGCUUGCUGCUGUAGCCCAGAUUUUACAGAGUCCCCAAGGCCAACAGCUUCAGCAGUUGAUACAAACGCUGCAGAUACAGCAGCAGAAACCUCAGCCUUCACUACUUCAAGCCCUGGAUGCUGGUCUUGUCGUUCAGUUACAGGCCCUAACUGCACAACUUACAGCUGCAGCUGCUGCUGCCAAUACACUUAAUCCGUUGGAACAGAGUGUCUCUUUUAAUAAGAAGCUGAUGGACAGGUUUGACUUUGGGGAAGAAUCUGAACAAAAUGAAGAGCCUAAAAAGGAAACUCCCACUUCCCAACUGCCUUUAGUACCAGAAUCUGUGAACAACUCACUUUUUCACCAACUAGCUGAACAACUGCAGCAACAAAAUUUAGAACAUCUCAGACAACAACUUCUGGAGCAACAGCAGCCUCAAAAGGCAAGCCCUGAGGAAAAUCAGGAAGGGAAUUUUGGUUCAGAGCACUCUGCAUCACCAUCACAAGGGAGCAGUCAACAGCAGUUUUUAGAAGCAGAAACAAAUGUAGAUGAUUCAAUGGAUAUUCAACAACAGGAUAUGGACAUAGAUGAAGGACAGGAUGUUGCUGAAGAAGAGAUUUUUGAACAAGAAGAAAAGAAAUCUGCUGUUCGUUCAAGAUCAAGAACGCGUUCAAGAUCUCGUUCAAGGUCACCAAGAAAACGAAGGUCUAGAUCACGAUCUGGUUCUCGUAAGCGUAAACACAGAAAACGUUCACGCUCAAGAUCAAGAGAAAGGAAGAGAAAGUCAUCUCGGUCCUACUCCAGUGAAAGAAGGGCUAGGGAAAGGGAAAAAGAACGUCAGAAAAAGGGAUUGCCUCCAAUACGGUCAAAAACACUAAGUGUUUGCAGCACUACUCUUUGGGUAGGCCAAGUAGACAAGAAGGCUACACAGCAAGAUUUGACCAACUUAUUUGAAGAAUUUGGACAAAUAGAAUCUAUUAAUAUGAUUCCCCCAAGAGGUUGUGCGUAUGUCUGCAUGGUUCAUAGACAAGAUGCAUAUCGUGCUCUUCAGAAGCUUAGUUCUGGGUCCUACAAAAUCGGAUCUAAAAUUAUUAAGAUUGCCUGGGCUUUAAAUAAAGGUGUAAAAACAGAGUAUAAGCAAUUCUGGGAUGUGGAUCUGGGAGUUUCAUAUAUUCCUUGGGAGAAGGUAAAAUUGGAUGAUUUGGAGGGCUUUGCUGAGGGUGGCAUGAUUGACCAGGAGACAGUAAAUACAGAAUGGGAAACAGCGAGGAGCUCAGAACCUGCUAAAGAAAAUAUUCAAACUACGCAGAGUACUGCAGUUGAUAAGAGCACAGUGAUUACAACGCAGACGGAAGCUUACACACAACCGGUCACUAUGCUACAGAUUCCAGUAGCUCCAGCUGUGCCUGCUGUUAGCUUAGUUCCACCUGCAUUUCCUGUCACAAUGUCUGUCCCUCCUCCUGGUUAUAGUGCCAUUCCUCCUCCACCCUUCUUGCGAGCAAGUUUCAAUCCUUCACAGCCACCUCCAGGUUUUAUGCCUCCCCCAGUUCCUCCUGUUGUCCCUCCUCCUGUUGUGCCACCACCUGUUGUACCACCAGUUGUUCCAACAUCUUUAGUACAGCCUCCAUUGCCAAUUACUCAAGAGACGAUGAAGGAUGUACCUUUUACUGGCCUGGUUCUACCAGUUGUUGGCACAGUUAGUAGCAAUCUAGCCACUCCAACGUUAUCUUCUGGAAGCAUCUUUAAUCCUUUGCCAAUCAACAAACAAGAAUCUGAUGAAAAGGGAUCUCAUCUUACAGACCUUCAGAUUUCUUCCAGUGAAAAUGGUAGAGCUGUGCAAAGUGAUGUCUCGAGUAGCUCUGGACUUGUUGGAGGAGUGCAACCACCCAGUGUCUCAAGCAGUUCUGGGCUUCCUGGAGAAGGCCAGCCACCCAGUGUCUCAAGUAGCUCUGGACUUGCAGGGGGAGUGCAGCCACCCAGUGUCUCAAGCAGCUCUGGACUUGGAGGAGGAGUGCAACCACCAACUGUUUCAAGCAGUUCUGGUCUUGCAGGAGGAGUGCAACUACCCACUGUAUCCAGUAGCUCUUCUCUUGCAGGAGGAGUUCAGCCAACCAGCGUCUCGAGCAGCUCUGGACUUAUGGCUGGAGUGCAACCACCAAAUGUCUCAAGUAGCUCAGGGCUUCUAGCUGGAGUGCAUCCACCCAAUAUCUCAAGCAGCCCUGGCCUUCUACCAGGAAUGCAGCCUCCCAAUGUUUCAAGUAGCUCAGGAGUUCUGGCAGGAGUACAGCCACCAAGUGUCUCAAACAACUCUGGUCUUCUCCUAAUGCCACCACCGAAUGUUUCAAGUAGUUCUGGACUUAUGGGAGUGCCACCACCAAAUAUGUCAAGUAAUUCUGGACUUAUGGCAAUGCAGCACCCAGCUGGCAUUCAAAAUAUGCCUCAUUUAAAUAUUAGUAGUCAAAGGAUGCCAGGAAUGCCUCUCAUAGAUAUCCGUCCAGGCCUAAUGCCCCAUUCACCUGGACCAAGGUUUCCGUUAAUGCAGCCAGGAUUACCACCACAGCGUAGUAUUCCUCCUCCAGCAAUCCUUGAUCCAUCUCUUCACCCUCCGCCCCGAGGUCCUUUUCCUCCAGGAGAUAUUUUUAAUCAAACAGAAAGACCUUUUGCAACACCAGGAAGACAAAACAUUGAUAGCAUUUCUAAUCCAGAGAAAAGGCUACCACUUGGAGGCGAUAAUAUUCAGCAGGAGGGAGACAGAGAUUAUCGCUUUCCUCCAGUGGAAAACCGAGAUAAUCUCAACAGACCAUCCCAAGUGGAUGUCAGAGAUUCUGUUGGACGACCGCCAGUUGAUCCAAGAGAGGGCAUAGGAAGACCUCCAGUAGAUGGAAGAGAACAUUUUGCAAGACCUCAUGUAGACAUGAGAGAAAAUUUUGGAAGACCAAGUAUAGAUAAUCUUGGUCGAAGAGAGCAUUUUGCUUUCAAUUCGGAUAAGCACUGGGGACAAAGAGGAGAUUAUGAUGAAAGAGAGCACCAUGCCUUUCCUGUUUAUGGUGGCCCUAAAGGCUUCCAUGAGGACAGAGAGAGAUUUCGGCAUAUAAACUAUAGGUUUGAUAGUAGAAGUGGUCCCAGCUGGAAUAGAGGAUUUGAACAAGAUGCUCACAGAGAUUUUGAUGACCGCAGAAGACCCUGGGAAAGGCAGAGGGACAGGGAUGACAGAGAUUUUAACUUCUGCAGAGAAAUUAAUGGGAACAGGUUUGGAAGAGACAGAAUGUCAAACAACUGGAUCCCCCCUCCACACCCACGGGUUUUUGAAUAUUUUGAUGGGGCCACUUCCCAACGCAAAGCGGAUAAUUUGCCCCAGGUAAACGGUGAAAAUACAGAGACAGAAAGUCAACCACCAACUGCACAGGUGCAGGACGAUCCCGAACUUUAUGAAAAACUGACUUCUUCCGUCGAGAUAAACAAAGAGAAGAGUGACACAGAAGCUGAUAUAGAAAGUGAACCAGUGGUAGAAAGCACAGAAACUGAGGGGACAUAAUCAUCACUCAGUAGAAAUCAGGGGGCUUUGUGUUUUGGUGGCUUAAUACUGAAGCAGAAAAUCUUGUUAAAUUGCUGAGAGGAAUUGGCUGCUUAGGUAAAUGAGUAGCACUAUUCUCUCUUAUUUCAUGUACUUUGCUGCUUAUGUCCUUCAAAUUGGUGGCGGAAGAUUUAAUACUGUAAGAUUUUCAAUAUGUUUCACUGAAGUGCAUUCCACCAACUUCUUUUAACGUAACUUUUGUUAAAAUUCUGUCUGGAAGCAUUUCACGUAGCUUUGAGGAAGUUGUUUUUCUCUUGCAUAGUAGUAUCAGAGAGGUAGAUUCUGUUAUAUGAAUGCCCCUUUUCUAGAAGAAAUGUUUUUAGCUCAGAUUAGAAUUUUGAUCUUUACUGUUAAAGUGUAGACAUGCAAGUUUUAAUUCCCCGUCCCUUUCUCCCAAAGGGAUGAUAGUAUGGGAGUGUCAUGUGAGUGUCAAGUACAAGCAAGAUUUUGAGAGCAGAAUCAAGUUAUACAUGUGUUUCUUGCCAUUUUCCUCUGGUACAUGGGUUACUUCUUCAUGCUGUGACAUGGUUCAGUUUUUCAAUUAUAGGGAUUUUUAUUCUGGACAGUAAAGAGCCAGCUUAAUGAAGGUAAUCAUUCGAAAGAGUGGACAUGAAUGAUUCUUUUUCUACUAUGCAAGUAGUAGUCAUUAGGGUGUAGUGAGGUGUGAAUUAAAUAAUUAUUGCUUUGUAAUAGACCUUGCUGAUAUGUUUAUUACCAGAACAUGUCUUCCAAUUUGAGGUGAACAAUAUUUAAAGUGGAAGUACUUUCACGUGCAGUCUCUAUGGCUCAAAGAAGUUGCUUGAUAGUGCUGCGCAACCUAGUAGUAGUAUUCAGGUCUGGCAGAUAUGGUUCUGGAAGUCCAAACACGUGAAACAGGUGUGAGGGCACUUUGUAUAUUUAAGGGAUUUUCUUUUUUUGUUUUUAUAUUGCAGACUGAAAAUACUUCAGCCACAGACCGUGUAAAUUCUCAGAAUCAAACACAUAUUGGCAGUAGCUUUUGUUUACAAAUGUUUUGUUAAAUGCUUUUUUAAAACAAAAAGUUAAUCUGAUUUUCUAAACUGAGACCUACAGUAUGCUAAAUUACUCAUAGUAUGAUGGUAUAGGUAAAUUGCUAGGUAGGGAGUUUAAAUAAUUCAACUAGUAGUGGUAUAAAACAAUGUAUUAUUUAAUGACUUCUCAUCUUUGUUAAUAUCUUUUAAACGUUAAUAAAUUGGCUACUGUACAUAUGUGUUAUACCAUCAAUUUCUAACAGCAUUUUUUUCUAGAAUAAAAUUUUAUUGUACAGUUUUCAGUUGCAUCUUGUUUACAGCUAGAACUGUUUCAUUUCUUAUUUUACUGAUCUGGGGUGCAGAUGAAUAUUACUAGAAGAACAACGUUCAGUAAUACUAGCAAACAUAGUAUGUUCUCUUUAACUUGCCAGUGAAAAAGUUUGAGCAAAGACUUUCUCAUUUUAGAUUAAGCCAUGAAAAACCAACAUUUGCCUUGAAAGGAGCUGUCCUAGCAUUCAACACUUUGACGUAGUUAGCAAUAGUGUUGUACUUUUUGCUAACACAAGGGAAAGAGUAAGAAAGGGACAUAGAGAAAAUAGGGGCCAGGCUUCUGGGGAACAGUUCUUAUGUAUACCAGUUUAAAGCCUUCUACCAUGACAAAAGCUGCCCGUUCUAGCAACUUAAAGCAGCUGAUCCAUACUUUGUCUUUUUAUUUACAAAAAUGACACACACAUACACACACACAUAUAUAUAUGUAUAUAUGAAUACUCCAAGUAGCUCUGCAGACAACACAAAUAAUAUGCUUGAGCAUGCACAUCUACAUGAAAACCUCACGCGUUAGUAAAUUGUUUAAUGUAUUUUUACCCUUUCAAACAGUCUGUGAUUCUGACUUCACUGUACAGUACUUGAGCAUAAUGCUACGUUCAUUAAGAUUAUAAAGAUGAAACAUAGCCUUUAUUUACUAUAAUGACACAAUCUCUUUUCUGAAGAUAUAUUCUGUGAAAUAUUGGUACACUUUCAUUUUUAUACACAGUGCUCCACAUUGUUACUGCAAACUCAAGGGAAUAGAUUGCGAGAUUCCUUCACUUUAGUAGAGUAAUAUACCACCCUUCAAGCCAUGUCAAUGAUUUAAAUUGCUUUACUUAUGAAAAUGCCUUGAAUAAGGCAAUACAAGACUGCUGUAAUCAAGCCUACAGUGUGGAAUGAUUAGACUUUGCUUAAGCACUACUGGAAGACUGUCAAAUAAAUUGUCUAUAGAAGAUAUUUGUAAAAUAAGCCAAUUUAUUGCAGAGAUCUCUCAAAACAGUGUAAGCAGUUUUGAGCAUGUCCAGGGGUACGUUAUGGCAGUCUUCAUAGAAUCACAGAAUUAUUUGGUCUGGAAGGGACCUGAAAAGAUGAUCUAGUCCAACUCCCUUGCAGUGCGCAGGGAAACCUUUCACUAGAUCAGAUUUUACUAUGUAAAGUCUCAUCCAGCCUUACCUUAUGCGCUUCCAGGGAUGGGGUAUCUGCAACUUUUCUGGGCAACCUGUUCCAGUAUCUACCAGUUUCAUAGUGAAGAAUUUCUUCCUUACAUCAAAUCUAAAUGUGUCCUCUUUUAAUUUAAAGCCAUUACCUUUGUCAUAUCACUACACUCCUUGAUAAGGCAUCUCUUCUUAUCUUUCUUGGAAGCCCUCUUUAAGUAUUAGAAGACUGCAUUAAGGUAUAUAUUACUUCCCUAGAGCCUUCUUUUUUCUAGGCUGAACAACCCCAACUCUCACAGCCUUUCUUCAUAGAAGAGGUGUUUCAGCCCUCUGCUCAUCUUUGUGAUCCUCCUCUGGACCUGCUCCAGCAGAUCCAUGUCUCUCGUGUUGGGGUCCCUGGAGCUGAACACAGUGCCUCCAGGUGAUGUCUGACAGCAGUGGAGUAGAGAAGGUCAGACAGUCAGUCAUGUCACUUGAUCUUCUGGCUUCUCUGCUUUUAAUGUAGCCCAGGAUACAAUUGGCUUUCUGGGCUGCAAGCACAAAUCGCUGGUUCAUGUGAAGAUUUUCAUCCACCAGUACCCCCACAUAAUUCUCUUUAGGGCUGUUAAUAACACGUUCAUCAGCCACUCUGUACUGAUGUUUUAGAUUGCCCCAGCCCAGGUGCAGCAGCUUGCACUUGUCCCUGUUGAACUACAUGAGGUUCUCAUGGGCCCAUUUCUCAAGCCUGUCCAGGUCCCUGUGGUUUGCAUCCCUUCUCUCUAAGGUAUUACCAGCAUCGCUCAGCUUGGUGUCACCCACAAACUUGCUGAGAGUGGAUUCAGUGCCACUGUCCAUGUCAACAAUGGAGAUAUUAAAUAGUAUCAGUCCUCAUAUAGUCCACUGAGGGACACUACCUGUCAUUGGUCUCCUCCUUGUGGGCAUAGAGCUAUUGACUAUAACUCUUGGAAUGUGACCAUUCAGCCAAUUAUUUAGCCAUGAAAUAGUCCUUCAAUUAAAUCCAUGUCUGUCUAAUUUGGAGAUGAGAAUGUUGCGUGGAAUCAUAUCACGGUCUUUGCACAAGUCAAGGUAGAUGACAUCAGUUGCUCUUCCCUUUAUCCAUCAGUGCUGUCACUGGCACAGAAGGCCACCAAAUUAGGCAUGCAUGAUUUGCCCUUUUUGAAGCUAUAUUGGCCAUCUCCAAUCACCUCCCUGUCUUCUGUAUGCCUUAACGUGGUUUCCAGGAAGAUCUACUUCAUGAUCUUACUGAGCAUUGAUGUGAGGCUGACUGAUCUGUAGUUACACUUCUUAAAAAUGAGUGUUGUGUUUCCCCUUUCCAACUUACUGGGGACUUCCCCUGACUGUUGUAACUUAUCAAAUGUGAUGAAUAAUGGCUUAGCAACUUCAUCUGCCAGUUCCUUCAGAGACUUGGGAUGCAUCUUGUUGGAUCUUGUGGAGUUGUGCACAUCCAUGUUCCUCAGAUGAUCUUGAACCUGGUCUCCUCCUAUGGUGGGUUAUGCUUAAUUCCUUUGGUCUCUGCCUUGAGAUUCAGUGACUUGGGGAAGUGGGAUGUGUAGUAAAAGCAAUUGCUGGUGAAGACUGAGACAAAAAAAUGUGUUGAGUAUCUCAGGCUUUGCUAUGUCAGUUGUAUCCAAGUUGUUUCUCUCACUUAUUAGAAGGGAGUGCAAUUUAUUUUAUCAUCCUUUGCCAUUUUAUAUAUGUGGAAACCCUUGUUCUUCACAUCCCUAGCUAAGUUCAGCUGUCCCUUGACUUUCCUGAUUCCAUUCAGCCAGCCAAAGCAUAUCCUUAUAAUCUUCCUAGGCUGUAUGACCCUGCCUUCUUUGCCUACGCAUUUACUUUUUGUUUUGUUUUGCUUUAGCUUGGUUGAGGUCCUGACUCAGCCACACUGGUCUCCUGCCUUCAUUGCCUCAUCUUUUGCAUGUUGCAAUUAAAAGCUCUUGUGUUCUAAGAAAAGUAUCUCAAUAUCUGCCAGCUCUCUUCUGCUCCUUUAUCCGCUGGGGUACUCUCCCAGGGGGUCCUAUGCACUAGUCCCUUCAGCAGCUGAAAGUUUGCCUCCCAGAGAUCCUGGCUAUAUUUUUAGGCCAGACUAAAUUCCUCAAAAACAUGAAUUCUACUAGGACAUAAUCACUGCAGCCCAGGCUGCCUCCAGUCUUGAUUUCUUUAUUAAGUUCCUGUGCAUCAAUGAUCAGCAGAUCAGAUGACACCUAAAGUGCUCAUUUUUGUUGAUAGAUUUGCCACUAAGUCAAACCUUUGGAUCAUUUAAUUUGAAACUGAUAAAAAUGGAUCCCAAAUGUCAUUAUUUUUGGUUCCGGUAAUGUAUUUUAAAAAUAAUAACGACCAAAAAAUGGCUUUUCUAUUUUAAUGGGAUCUAAAAAGUAAAAAGUUUAAAAGGUAUUUAGAGUGUGAGGGGUCACUAAGAGUAACUAGGACAAUUUUAUUUUGUUAAUUAAGGUGAUAAAAGGAGCUUUCUUUCCCUACUAACAGCUGAAUUUUACAUUAGCUGUAUUUUCCUUUCAAAUGCUGAGCUUUCACAUGUAAAGAUGUUCUGAGAAGCCAUCUACUUCUUGUUCAGCUGAGAGAGACUGAAAAGAUAUGAAAGCAGAAUGUCUCUCAUUUUGCUGCAAGAUUUCAAACGUUGUUGAAUUUGAAGCUAUUUAAUUGGACAAGAAUUGAAAAAAGGUUGGAGUUUUGUUGUUUGCCUUUUUUUUUUUCUCUCCAAUGGCAAAGUUUGUAUCAUAUUGCAAGAUCGCAACUAGCCUUGUAUUUCUCCUUGAAGGAUCAUCUUAGUGGUGGUAUUCACCCCACAAAGUUCGUACAAGCAAUUUGAGUACUCAACAUUUUGAAGUUUUUUUAUAUCUCCUGGUUAAGAAAGAUUAAAUAGAGCUACUAAAAACAAAAUCUGUGGCACCUCUUUAAGAGUAAUAACUUCUAGGAAAGGUGUAUAAGGUCUGAAAAGUGAUUCUUGACAGCAUUAGGAUGGCGUGAGUUACUUAAUAGUUGAGUUGGUAUUUUUUUGUUCUUUGCUUCUCUGAAGUUGAUAAACUGUAAAACUAUAUUUGCCAAAAUUAUUGUAUUCCAGUCUAUCUUGCAGAGCCUUGAUGAAAAAGGGAAGUUUCAUUGAAUGUUACUACUGUUACUAUCUUGUAGAUGUUCAGCUACCAUGGAUUAGAGGAAGGAAAAGACUGAUACGCGCACUCUUAAACUUCAAGUGGUUGCUUGAUUGAUGUGCAGUUGAAGAUGACUGUAUUUCUCUUUUUAAGAAGUUUAAAAUGCAUUUGCAUAGAAACAGUGCAAUCUGUUCAGUAAUCUUAUUCUAUAGUUUGUCAUUUUUCUUUUAAAGUUAACUCCCUAAUGCUAGUUUUAAUUCUCUUCCUAUAAAAAUAAAUCACACUGAUUCCUUUAGACAAGGAACUAUUUUGUUCUUUACAGAUAAAGUCUUCUCAAGUAGUAUUUCAACCUGUUGAAAAUUCUAGCAGACACUAUGAAUUCGACCUAUAUACAAGCAAUAGUUAGAUAAUGUCCAAGGAAGAAUAGCUUGCUAGCUUAGAUUGAAAUCAGAUAAAACAUACGUUACAAAAUGUGAAUAAACCUUUCUUUUUCAGAUUUAAUGAAACUUAAUACAUAGAUUCUGAUUAAAUAUUCACUGAUUAAGAAGUAAGCAUCCAAAGCUAUUAGUAGUCCUAAGCAUUUUCCCAAAUGUUGUUUGUAUGUAAAAAACUAAAACAACAACAACAACAACAAGACAAAAAAAAAAAAAAAAAACUAGGAAGAGUCAGGUAGAUGUGUAAAUAUUUGUAAGUUUACAAUGUCUUGGAAAAAUUACAUGAUACAAACGAUAAUAUAUCCCUUAAGGCUCUUUUAAGUAGUAGGUGCUGCAGUACACAGAAGGCUCCAGGUAAAGAGUGAACCAGCUUGUCUGGAAGAAAUGUUUUGAACUGAGGUGUUAGUGUAAAAUCCAAGAGUUACAUUGCUUUGCUUUUGUUACUCCAGACUGAAUGCUGAUUAGCGGAUGCUCAAAUUUGUUACAUUUGCAGUUACCUCUAGUGUUCAAGUAUAUGACCAGUACAGAUACAGGAGGUGACAAGUUGUGAGUGAUGAGGUUGGUGGCCCCGCCUGUGGCAAGGGAGUUCGAACUUGAUGAUCCUUGGGGUCCCUUCCAACCCAAGCUAUGCUAUGAUUCUAUUAUUCUAAGACCCAGUUGUUUACCAGUGAGAUGUUGCCGUUGGCUUCACUGAAUCCAGAAUUUCAGACUCUUUGUCCAGUGUGUUUUCUCUUCAGCAGCAAUUAGAAAAGCAGACAAUAGAAGAUUAUCUGGUUCUAGUUUUAUUCUCAGAUUUCUACUCAUUAAAGCCUAAAGCCCUCUAAGAGGUAGAAUGUGUUUUCUAUUAUUUAAUUCAUGUUUCCCUAUGGAAGUAUUCAUGAGUAGGCAACUGUUAAAGGCUGUUGCAAGACUCUGAGAAUAGAAUUGGACGAAAUAUACAAUCUGUGAGAGUAGAUGUAUGAAAUAUUUGAAAAAACUGCAGGUGUUACACUUGUAUAAUCCUCUGCUAGAUAAUUCAUGGAGUAGAAGAAAGAAAGCAUGUUAAACACACUGAUCUUACCUUCUUUCUCUUUCCAAAUGAUCUUAUUUUCUAAGAUCUUUUCAGUGCAGCACGUAGAGAAGCCCCAUACUACAUGGUCACUGUUCUUUAUUUAGAAUCUAAUCCAUACACUUUUCUCCAUCUGCUUACUGCUUUUUUGACAGGUUAGGGCUUAUAUUUAAAUAGAUUUUUCAUCAAGCAAUUAAAAAAAAUGAAUGCACUAGGUUAAUAGUAUUUUCUUAUCUCAUUGUAGAAUGCACUGCCCAGUUCUUCUCAAUGAAUUUCCUUUUCCAACAAGUUCUUGCAUUUCUGUAUGACCAGAACAGAAAUAAAAAUGAAUGGCAUGAUUAAAAAAAAAAAAGUUUUUAUCCUAUAUAUAUAUAUAUGUAUAUAUAUAUUGACAUGAUAGUCUGGUUCCAUCAUGUUUGAGAAUAUAAGUAAGAUGACAUUUCUCACAACACAUAGCAGUAUAUGCUAUUAAACACAACUUGAAAAGUUAAGGUCACAACUUAAAGUGACUUCAGGAACUGUCCCAUGCAACACCUGCACAUCAUAGUGAAUGCCAAGAUCUUGUAUUUCCCUUCUUCUUCCCUUGCCUUGUCACUAGAAUAUUUAGUCUCUUUUUCAUAAUGAAGAAAUUUAAGAAAAAAUUUGUCUGUAUUUCACUUCUCCCAGCUUUGAGAAUUAAUUUGUUCUGAACAUCUCUGAUCUUGUGACAGGAAAGCACGUAUCAAUCCAAAAGGAGCAAAUAUAUGAAAGCAAUUGUCUAAACACUUCCACCAUUACAAUGUAAUUGUGUAAAAUAGUAAGACACAGGGAAGCGCUGCUAAAGAAAGGUUUUAAUUCACAAUCUGCUUUACCAACUGAUUGGCUUCAUUUUUGAAAGCCUUCUGUUGAAAAUUUUAUAUUUUAGAUGUGCUUCCCAAGACAGUUCACUGUUGUUCUUUUGUCUCGUUAACAUGUUUCAGAACUGGGACCUAUGAAAUGUCUUAAAAUAUAACUUUGUAAUUAUAUAUGUCAUCUUACAAUGAUUGACUAGUACUGACUUGAGGUACAUAUCAGAGAUACACAAUAGAACAAUUAGAAUUUGUUAUUGUUAACCUGCUGCUAUGUGUGUAUACACACACACGCACACACACAAAUCUAGGUCGCUCUGAAAGUUAUGCCUCCUGUUUAUUUCCAUGGAAACUACAAGAGAUACAAAGAGCACGACACUAUUUGAUGGAACAAAUUCUCAGCUACAAAACAGUUUUUCAACAUAGGCACCACCAUUAGUUCUGCAUUUUUGCCAGUGAUGAGUAAGAGCCUGCACCCUGUUCUGUGUACAGCACAUAUAACAAUUUGCACCAGUGGAGGUGACCUGCUGUUGACUGAAAAACACCACCCACCAACUCGCUGUGCUCACAUCCACUGUUUGGUUUCCAUCAACAUUCAGCAAGCAUCAAUAGAUGUCAGUGGGUGCAAUCUUUUCUUUAUGGAGGAAUUCAGUGACACUCCUUUCCUUCAUCCACACUCCAUGUCAAACACCGUUUUGUCAGACUGCCCCUCUGCUGCUGUCUGUCACACAGCAACAAAAUGUAGUGGAAUAUUGGUGGGAAGGUUCAACAUCUGCCAUACCAUGGACAUCUACCUCAUGGGCCAACAUCAUAAAAUAGGAGGCAUUACUUUUGGAGUAGCCAUCGUAUAUUUAUUCUGUAGAUUUCUGUUUCUAGGUCCUAUUUUCCAGAGAAGGGCCAGGAAUUAAAUUCUGCAACAUUUCAGAGUUCCGACCUGAAAUGCUAGUAGGUGGUUGCCUCAAAUAUACUGUCUGCUUAUCUUUGCCUUCCCACUUCUUAUGCAGUCUUCAUGCGUGGCUACUACUGGCAUCCUGCCAUCAUCACUGUUCCUAACCAAGGUGUUCUUAGGGCUCCUUCAGAAACCUUUUGAAUCCUUCUAAUUCCAUUCUCAAUUUCUAAAAAGCUUGAAAUAUGAAACUUCACGUAUUAUCCUUAGGCACACAAUCUCUACUGGAGUGACAAAAUACUUAUCCCAUUUAUAUUUCCACUCUCAUUUCUUUUCAUACAGUUGUACUGUAGAAUCAUAGAAUGGCUUAGGUUGGAAGAGACAUUAAAGUGAAUCCAGACCCAACCCCCUGCCUUGGGCAGGACUUCCACCAACCAGCUCAGGCUGCCCAGGGCCCCAUCCAGCCUGGCCGUGAGUGUCUCCUAGGAAUGGAGCAUCCACAUCUUCUCUCUGCAACUUGUUCCAGUGUCUCACCAUCCUCCGAGUAAAGAAUUUCUUCCUAACAUCUAACCUACAUCUCACUUUUUUAGUUUAAAGUCAUUCCUCAUUGUCCUAUCACCAUCAGACCACGUAAAACGUCAGUCCCCCUCCUGCUCAUAAGUUCCCUUUAAGUACUGAAAGGCCACAGUUAGGUCUCCCCAGAACUUCUCCUAGCUAAACAAACCCAUUUUUUUUCAGCAAAAGCUCUCUGCAGUGAGCAUUUCAAAGCUAAUUAUUAUAGUAUGAUUCCCAGUGUCUUCAGUCUGAAAGUGAAGAUAUUCUUUGGAGUUCUGAAGAAACAAUUUCUGUGUAUUCUUACUAUUCUUUUAUGCUUCUCCCACCUAUAUAAAACAGUGGUUUCCAGCCCAGGCACUGCAAACUGCAUUCUUGCUUCCCUAAUGAGGAAAGGUGCAGUACGUCCCCAGAAGAUUUACAGGUUAUGUGAAGAGCAGCUCCUCAGGGCAUGUGCAAUGUGCAAUAAAACAAGCAUGAGAAAAGAGCAAGCCUCUGUUGUCAGGCAACCUUAUCCAGGUUUUGAACCUCUUUGCAGCAAGUCCUUGAAUAUAGGAAGACUGGAAAGGCAGCUGAAUGACCCCUCACUGACCUUCAUCUUUAUGGGGAGCUUUCAGUUCAGCAGCUGGUUAUAAUUCCUUUCAUAAGGUGUGGCCAGCUCUAAGUCAUUCUUUGCGAUCACUUCUGAAACACUAAGAAGACCUCCAAACCAUGCUAAUAGUAGCAAGGUACACAGAUACUUGGAAUCACUAGGUCAUGCCUGGGACACAGGCAAGACGUGCUGUCCCUGUCACAUGUACCAUUUUCUGUCUCUUCUUUAAAAACAAAAAGAUAAACUCAAAAUAAGCAAAACAAAAACCAACUACUAUUCAUCUUUCAUUGCUUAAUUCCCUUCUGCAUUAAAUAGAGCCAAUUUAAUACCAUAGCAGUGAGGGGAGUUGUGUAUCCCCAAGCAGAAGUAAUUGGUAGGGUGAGGAUCUCUAUGCCAGUGUUAUUUAGUUUGUUGUUUUCAGGUGGUUGUCAAUCAUUCUUUGAUCACUGCAUUUCUAAAACAAAAAUGUUCUGGCUGCAUUGAAUGCAGUAUUUGAAAUUUGCUUUAUUUUCUUUUUAUUCUUUUACCUUUUAUCCUUUAAAUGUACAUCGGUUGAAUGUGCCUCUGAAAAAAUACCUUAAUUGUUCAGUAGUUAAUUUCUUCUCUUAGAAAUGAAGCUUUCUGUGUUUAUUUCCAUUACAAUAUAAUGGAGGAGGAUACAAAAAAUAAAAAAUAAAAAAAAAAAAAUCAAAAAUCAGCAGAACUGCAUAGGAAUAGAGAAUGCUUUUCUUUCAGGAUGGAGCAGUUAACUGCACUAUAUUUUAUUCUGCACUCUAAAAUUAUGAACACUUUCAUAAUCAAACCCAUGGAUCAUAACAAACUGUUAUACGAUAAAAUAUCAUGAGAUUUUUCUUUCAAGAGAUAGUCGUUUUGUGGAAUUAAAAUGGACCACUGUGGAAGCUCCUGUUGGAAAGAUGCAAAAGAGGACAUAUUCUGUAACGCUUUCUAAACAAGUGCCGAUUUUGUUAGUAAUGCAUCAGACAUGAGUUUUGAUGUUCUAUUCUUCAGUGUUCUAGCACUGAUUACAUGUGUAUUUGAAAGUGACCUACAGAUUUACUGUAGUUUUGAAGAACUGUGAAAUUAAAGGAUGCCUGGGGGAUAUUAAGUGCAGUUGCUGGGUUUUAUGUGUUCUCACAGUUGUGAUGUAGAGUUGAUGCCGAGCUUGCUCACAUAAGGCUGCUGUUGAGGGUUAGUACUAUUACACUCUGGUGCUUUGAUUUGCUUUGGGUUUUUGUUCAUUUCAAAUAUGUAAAGGCUUGGGUUAAAGCAGCUUUGCAAACCAUGGCAAUUCACGUGUAAUCCCGUGAACAGUUGACAGGAGUAUUGCAAACUGGGGAGAAGCAAUAAUUACAAACUGUGAUGUUUGUAAGAGCUAUGCUAAAGAGAAAGAAGUGAUUCUGAAAAGAAACAGUAAAUGCUGACUCCUAUUUUCUUUGCUUUAUGAGUAGGAUGUCUGUCUUAGUUUGGUGGAAGCCAUAAUGAGAAACAGCUGAAAUAGCUGCUAGGAAAAAGACUGGUUUGCUUUUAAAUACAGUAUAGUCACUGACUUCAGUUUCCUUGCUAAGGUUUGUAAGAUUCAUCAAAUCUACUUGUUCUUUUGAGCAAGGACAGAAUACUGAAAUCCAAGGAAAUGCUUAGUUUGAACUAUUUUUGGAAAAAAAAAACCAAGCAUUUAAACAAGCAUUAAGAAGUUACAGUAAAAACAUAGGAACAGAAAAUUUGCAGAUUUGGUAUGAAACAUCUUUGAGCAAGUGAGUAGCAUCUAUUCAAUAUUAAUUUUCUUUUUACACUUUCAAAAGAAGUUUUUUGCAAACAUUUAUUUUUGGAUCUUUGAAAAUGAAUUUGGUAUCUCUUCUUACUGGUGCUUGCAGGUGACAUUUCUUUUUUUUUUUUUUUCCCCCCCUGGAUUUUGCUUCAGCUUUAUUGAAUUGCUGUCCUGACAUUUGGCUGCUUGCUGCUCUGAAACCAGCAGAGGGUGCACAGAAUGUAUUCAGCUGUAGCUGUUUCUUCACAGUCCCUUGUGUUACUGCUACAUAGGAACCAGACAACUGCCCUCCUAGGCCCUAUUCAGGUAUCACCUGAACAUGAUUCUCAAAAUAGCUCACAGCUGUGCUUCAGUGCAUGGUUUUCAGUCCACCUAGGGGAAUUUCCUGACACUGUUGUCUGUAGGAUUCAGGACAGCGUGUCAGAUCCUAUGUGCUUGUUCUUUACAAGUCUGCUAAAAUGAACAGGCAUUACACAUUCAUAAUUUCAUGGAUCAGAACCUACUUUAAAAGAUGUUUUUUAUCACUGUGAUAUUUUAAGAGAAAGGUUUGUGGAAGUGGCUGUUGAGCUAUUUCUCUGCUUUUUUAACUGGCUGUAAUUGACCUGGCAGGGCUUUGCUGGGAGCUGCCACCUCUCUCCCCACUCUGACCAGUGAGCAGUGCCUACCAGCUCCCAGCUCUUACCUGUCACAUUGCAAAGUAGUUCAAGGACUAAGACAAGAUACAUUAUCAUUUAUGAGAUACGUUAAUUCAAUAUAGUUGCAUACUACUGCUUUGAGAGAGUUUCCAUACCACAGAACAGUAUUUUUAUCCUCUUUCUUUUUCUGGAUUUAGGUUUACCUCUAUGUCUAGAUAUCAGUGUUUCUAAUGCUUGACUGUUAGAACAGUCGCAUAUGAAUUAGCCUACUAUAAAACACUGAAAAACUAUUUAGCUUUAUUUCACGUUAAUGUAUUUCUACUUCGUAAUUUCUUCUAUUAGUCAUUUUUUUUUCCAAAGCAUCUUAUUUUUCCAGCAUCUUGUUGGAAUCAAGUUCAUUGUAUCAACCAAAACUUGUUUUCUUCUUAUUUCUAACAGGCCAAGCUCCAUUCUAGAUGUAUUAAAAAUUAAUUAAGUUUCUUACUUAGGAUCUCAAAACUUUAAAAAAAAAGAAAAAAAAAGUCUUUCAUCAUACCUGUAGUGGAAAUGCUAAUUCAGGGCUUGAAGCAGUGAUUGAGCACCUGAUGGGAAGGCAGGGCCAACCCAGGGGAACUCAGGUGUAUGCAGUGCACCUGAAUAACUGGAAGGGGUGGAGCCAGGAUCCACCCCUUCCCAGACCUCAUUUAAGGGCUGGCAGUGGAGGUGAGGGUUUCUUGUUGGAGAUCCUUGUGUAUGUGAGGCCUUCUAAGGGCAAGAUGAAGGAAGUUCUGGCAGCUUACCAUGCCCCUGGCUCUGCAGAGUUAAGCGAGACGUGCGCCCAUGUUCUAGCAUGCAUCACAUCGCCUCUCGGGUCUGAAGUGCCAGAAGGAUCCCAGCGCUGCAGACUGAGACGGCUCUGAGCACCUCAGUACCCCGUUUCUGACAGAACCCAGGGAUGGCAAACUUACAUACCAGUAUUACCUGUCUGGCGCAGGUUUAAUUUUAUAAAUUAAAACCAUAAACUCUAUGAGUUUCUAGACCAUAUUUGUGCUGUUGAGGAUGAUCUACUCAGAUGAACAGUUUUGCAUCCAUCGGAGAGAAAGGUUCUUCUGCUGGACCAGAAGGCAACAUUAUUGUAACUAAUACCAUUUGUAGCAUCUCCUAGUGCAAAUAAUUGAAGAACAGGUUGCAAGAAAAUCCUCUAGGGAAUAAGACAUGCUUUGUUUUGGUCUUCAGAUUUUAAAAAAAUGUUGUUUUUUUAAAGGUAACCACUUUUACAUAACACUAUGUGUGCAGUCUAUGUGCAGCUCUUCACUGUGACUAUCUAUAUUCCAGAGAUUUUUAAUUACUUGUCAGGCACCUGAACCUUUUUUAGAUUUGUGAUGGAUCCUUAAAUUAUGUAUCCUUAAGUAUCAUGGAAAACUAGAAAGGAAAAGUUUCAGGGCUUUUAUUUGACUAAAUGUCUCCACUUAGUCCCUGUUAGUGUCUUGAAUGGUGGAGGAAAGGGUGGGAAGUAGGAAAACAAUACAAGAAAAAAACAACAAUACAUUGUGGGCUUGGUGUUCGGUUUGGCAUAUCAGAAUAUGUUUGAUCAAAUAACUAAGGAGAGAGAAACAGCUAACUUACCUGAGCCCUCACAUGAAAGGUCAGUAUUUUGGGGGGCAGUAUUUGCUAAUUUUGUCUCCAAAAUAGCUAUAGAAAAGAGGGAAUAUAUAUUAAGCCCCAACAUGUGUGAAAAGGACAUACUUGCCAUUCCUCUAUUUAUUUUUGCUCUUUCAAAAAUCAAAGUGCCAGUUAUUUGGAAUGCUGUAGUCUGUGGUCUCUUUAAAUUUGUUUGGUGAGAUCCUUUCAGCAAGAUCAUUCCCAUUACGGUGUAACUGCAUGGUGACCACAGCUUUGGGCCUGUAUAAUAAAGAUCUGAAUUCAAA